rnacentral:rRNA from 1 species
AGUGAACGCUGGCGGUAGGCCUAACACAUGCCAGUCGAACGGCAGCACAGUAAGAGCUUGCUCUUACGGGUGGCGAGUGGCGGACGGGUGAGGAAUACAUCGGAAUCUACUUUUUCGUGGGGGGUAACGUAGGGAAACUUACGCUAAUACCGCAUACGACCUACGGGUGAAAGCAGGGGAUCUUCGGACCUUGCGCGAUUGAAUGAGCCGAUGUCGGAUUAGCUAGUUGGCGGGGUAAAGGCCCACCAAGGCGACGAUCCGUAGCUGGUCUGAGAGGAUGAUCAGCCACACUGGAACUGAGACACGGUCCAGACUCCUACGGGAGGCAGCAGUGGGGAAUAUUGGACAAUGGGCGCAAGCCUGAUCCAGCCAUACCGCGUGGGUGAAGAAGGCCUUCGGGUUGUAAAGCCCUUUUGUUGGGAAAGAAAAGCAGCAGGUUAAUACCCCGCUGUUCUGACGGUGCCCAAAGAAUAAGCACCGGCUAACUUCGUG